UUUUUUUUUUCCGGUCUCACGUAUUGAUUAUUCUCUCUCUCCGGCACCAAUUUCAGCUGCUCUCUCUUCCUUCACAUCUCCUAUUUCUCUCCCUCUAGUAGCUCAAUAAUUGGAGUGAGAAGAGAAAACGGAAGUUAUAGAGAGAUCAAGUCAGACCAGGCUACCCAAAUCGUGCUGCACGAUAGUAUUCAAUGGAUAGUCAUGGUUUGCCAACUCUCUCCUCAAAACCCAAGAUAAAUAUUAGAAAGAAGAAGAGGAAAAGUGACGGGGAGCAUGCUAAGGGUUUUAAGAAAAUGAAAGGGCUGAAGCAAGACUUGAAGAAUCUUGAUAAAGUAACCGCACAGCUGAGCAACAUAGUGGAAAACCAGGAAAAUCUCAUGGAUGACUUAUUGCAUCAGCUGAUGCUUGGAUCUGAUGAACUCGAGCUGCUCAAAGAGGAAUCUGCUAUCUCAUGUCCAGGAGGUCCCAAUUGGGAUGUCUGUGUGUCGGAAACAAAAGAUCCUGUAGACAUCAUCUCUCUUUUGAAAUAUCGCAGCAAGAUGCUUGACAGACAAAUUAAAAUUUUGUACGAGAUGAUGUUCAAAUGAUAAUUUCAUGUCAGUAGACAGAUAUGAAAAAUUCAUUAAUCAAACAGAAGGAAGACAAAAAUCUGUCAAAGCUGAGAAAUAAGCUAUUGCAAAAGCCUCAAUCCAUCAAGGAGUUGAAGAAACUCCGUUGCAAGCCCAGGCAUAUAUCCCAAACAUCAAGAGCAGUACAAGCUUUGAACUGCAUGGAGUGAACAGAUAACACUUCACAUCUGACAUCCGAGCAAAUCCGAUUAACAAUGGACUGGCUGCUAUUAAAAUAAUUUUUGUGUAUUCUUCUAUUUCUUUCAGCCUACACAAUCUGAGAAUUAUAUACUUAAAGGACUUCUUUUGCAAACUAUAUAA